AAGUCGUAACAAGGUAUCCGUAGGUGAACCUGCGGAUGGAUCAUUAUCACGUAUCCACGUAUAAACCAUUGUGAACUGUAUUUGCCCUGUAGUAUGGAGCUUUGUGAUGGGGAAUUUCGGUUCUCUUUCCUUCUACAGUGUAUCUAUCACUUAAUUAACAAUUUAAACCUUUAAUUUAAUUUUUGAACUGACUUAUUUCUUACUCUUCGGAGAAGAAAUUCAUUACGAAACAAAGAA
rnacentral:misc_RNA from 1 species